rnacentral:rRNA from 1 species
UACGAAGGGGGCUAGCGUUGCUCGGAAUCACUGGGCGUAAAGGGUGCGUAGGCGGGUCUUUAAGUCAGGGGUGAAAUCCUGGAGCUCAACUCCAGAACUGCCUUUGAUACUGAAGAUCUUGAGUUCGGGAGAGGUGAGUGGAACUGCGAGUGUAGAGGUGAAAUUCGUAGAUAUUCGCAAGAACACCAGUGGCGAAGGCGACUCACUGGCCCGAUACUGACGCUGAGGCGCGAAAGCGUGGGGAGCAAACAGG